rnacentral:rRNA from 1 species
UACAGAGGUCUCAAGCGUUGUUCGGAUUCAUUGGGCGUAAAGGGUGCGUAGGCGGCGGGGUUAGUCAGGUGUGAAAUCUCGGAGCUCAACUCCGAAACUGCACUUGAUACUGCCUUGCUAGAGUACUGGAGAGGAGAUUGGAAUUUACGGUGUAGCAGUGAAAUGCGUAGAUAUCGUAAGGAAGACCAGAGGCGAAGGCGAAGCUCUGGACAGUUACUGACACUGAGGCACGAAGGCCAGGGGAGCAAACGGG